GAUGAAGAACGCAGCGAAAUGCGAUAAGUAGUGUGAAUUGCAGAAUUCAGUGAAUCAUCGAAUCUUUGAACGCACAUUGCGCCCUUUGGUAUUCCAUAGGGCAUAUCUGUUCGAGCGUCAUUUGGACCCUCAAGCCCUGCUUGGUGUUGGGCGCUUGUCCCGCCUCUGCGCGCAGGACUCGCCUUAAAUCCAUCGGUGCAGCACUGCCAGCCUCGAACGCAGCAGAGACGUGUUUCGAAGCUGGGAGCCUGCAUGCCGUAGCCUCAUUUCGCAACCUUGACCUCGGAUCAGAUAGGGAUACCCGCUGAACUUAAGCAUAUCAAUAAGCCGGAGGA
rnacentral:misc_RNA from 1 species